rnacentral:tRNA from 10 species
GCGGGAUGGAGCAGUCUGGUAGCUCGUCGGGCUCAUAACCCGAAGGUCGUUGGUUCAAAUCCAGCUCCCGCUACCA